rnacentral:rRNA from 1 species
CACGCCGUAAACGAUGAUCACUAGAUGUUGGUAAUGCUUAGCAUUAUCAGUGUCGAAGCUAACGCGUUAAGUGAUCCGCCUGAGUAGUACGGUCGCAAGACUAAAACUCAAAGAAAUUGACGGGGGUCCGCACAAGCGGUGGAACAUGUGGUUUAAUUCGACACUACGCGAGGAACCUUACCUAGGCUUGACAUGUAAUUGUUACUGGUAGAAAUAUCGGGUUCUAUGGAAACAUAGACUGUUACACAGGUGC